rnacentral:tRNA from 3 species
GGGACAUUAGUAUAAUGAACACUACACUAUCUUGUCAAGAUAGAACUGUGAGUUAAAAUCCCACAUGCCCCA